rnacentral:rRNA from 2 species
AAAAGGGUGCGCGGUGGAUGCCUUGGCUUAGGACAGCGAUGAAGGACGUAACUAGCUUGCGAUAAGCUUCGGGGAGGCGGCUUGUGGCCUUUGAUCCGGAGAUCUCCGAAUGAGGAAACUCUCUCGCCUUUGGCGAGAAUCCUUCAAGUAACGUUGAGGGAAGCAUACCUCGGGAAGUGAAACAUCUCAGUACCGAGAGGAAAAGAGAACAAAUGCGAGUUGCUUUCUGUUCGCGCGUAUAGUCGUGCGAAUGGAAAGCGACUCUUGUGAUUCCCCAAGUAGCGGCGAGCGAAAAGGGAGGAGCCCAAACCAAGCAUGUACGCAAGUACGUGCUCGGGGUUGUAAGGCAGUGAUAUCGUGUUUACACGACAGGAGUUACGAAGCGAUGCGUUAGGAGAAUCUGCUGGAAAGCGGAGCCCCAGAGGGUAAUGGCCCCGUAUCCGAAAACAAAUCGCCUCUUGUGUCACUGUUCUUGAGUAGCUCGAGACACGAAUAGCUCGAGCGAAUCUGCCAGGACUAACUGGCAAGGCUACAUAUGUCCUACGACCGAUAGCGAACAAGUACCGUGAGGGAAAGGUGAAAAGAACCCCGAGAGGGGAGUGAAAUAGAACUGAAACCGCGUACUUACAAAGGGUGGCGGCGGAUUUAUUCCGUUGCCGCAUGCCUAUUGAAGAAUGAGCCGGCGAGUGUGUGUAUGUUGCGUGAGCUAAGCCCCUCCGGGGCGGAGCUUAUAGGGAAACCGAGUGUGAUAAGCGCGUUUGUAGCAUACAUACGACCCGAAGCCAGAUGAGCUUGCCAUGAGCAGGGUGAACGUCUCCGAAAGGAGGCGGGAGGCCCGAACUCAUAUGUUGUACAACGCAUUGGGAUGACUUGUGGCAAGGAGUGAAAAGCUAAUCGAAUCUGGGAAUAGCUGGUUCUCUCCGAAACAGCUUUUGGGCUGGCGUCGCGAUAUAUGUGUCUGGAGGUAGAGCACUGGAAGGGACCAACAGGGAGAAAUCUCGUGGUCCCUAUCAACCUCCGAAUGCCAGACACCUGCGCGGCAGUUAGAAGGUGGGGGCGAAGCUCCAUCGAUCGAGAAGGGAAGAGCCUAGAUCGCCAGUUAAGGCCCCAAAAUCGACAUUCAGUACAUCACAAGGAAGUGCGGACUCAUAGACAGUGAGGAUGUUGGCUUAGAAGCAGCCACCAUUCAAAGAAAGCGUAACAGCUCACUCAUCGAGAGUCCGUGCGCCGAAGAUAAUCGGGGUUAAAUGUCGUGCCGAAACUGCGGAUGAGCACAUAAUUUAUUAUGUGCUCGUGGUAGGAGAGCGUUCGUAGUGCGCUGAAGGUAAAGGGGUAACCCAUGCUGGAGCGCUACGAAGUGAGAAUGCCGGUACAAGUAACCACAAUGCGGGUGAGAACCCCGCACGUCGAAAGACCAAGGUUUCCUUAGCCAUGGUAAUCAGCUAAGGGUUAGUCGGGCCUAAGGGGAUGGUGAAAACCGCACCCGAUGGACACACGGUCAAUAUUCCGUGACCAGAGUUAGGGCGAUGGAGUGACGGACUGCUGUAUAUGCUGCCGGGGAUUGGAUCUCGGUUAUUGGUGUGAGGGCGCGCUGUAGGCAAAUCCGCAGCGCUCCGCCGAAAGGCGGGAUCCCAAGCAUUAACGCAAUUUUCUUCUACGGAGGGAGAGAGAGCAUAAAGCGCGGUCUCAAGAAAAACUUCUAGUAUUCAACUUAACUCUGUCCGUACCGCAAACCGACACAGGUGGUCAGCUCGAGUAGAGCAAGACGAACGAGUGAGAUGUCCUCAAGGAACUCGGCAAAAAAGCGGCCGUAAGUUAGCGAUAAGGCCUGCCCCGCCGCAAGGCGGGGCCGCAGUGAAAGUUUCCCUGGCAACUGUUUACCAAAAACACAGCUCCCUGCGAACUCGUAAGAGGAGGUAUAGGGGGUGACGCCUGACCAAUGCCGGAAGGUCAACCACGGUGGGUUCAUUUCGCAAGAAAUGAGCUGGACUGUGUAAGCCCCGGUGAAUGUCGGCGAUAACUAUAAUCGUCCUAAGGUGUUGGGUUUGAUCCUCGGAUCGAACCCGGCAGGACUAGGACGAUUGUAGAAAAGAUUUUGGUAAUUACGCAGAAUGCUGCCUCGUCAUGUAGUAAUGCAUGAUGGGUCCUAAAAUAAACAUGACUAUAUGCUGGGAAGCGAUUCGUAAUCGCAAUCAGCAGGGAAGACUCGUGUGCUUCGAAGCGCGCGAGAACCCUCAGAUACCAAACGUCGUGCCCCUGUUUCGCGUAAAGCUACGCAGGGUGAAGACAGAGUACUCCGUUGAAAGGAACGGAUAGCGCAAUUCCUUGUCGGGUAUGGAAGAUGCCCGUUCCAGAAGCGAUUCUGGAAGCAAAAUUGGCUAUAACGGUGGAGUCCUCGCUGGAGCGUCGCCCAAAUCGAUGCGAUGAAGGCAGGAGAAUACCGUGGGAAGUCGUCCUGAGAGAAAUCGAAGGAUUGACCCCGUAUCGACUUUGGUCGCCAAUGUCCAUUGGCGACCAAGAUGGUGUAUCAUGUAGCAAUACGAUGAGACGCCAUAAUACGCCAACGCUGAAGACGAAUGUGCGGAAUCUCAACGAAUAUAUUUCAGGUUUUUCUGACGGAGAAGGAUGCUUUUCAGUAUCCUUCUCCAAGCGCGACAAAUUCUUGAUUGGAUGGGAGACAAAACCAAGCUUUUGUGUGGCCCAAAACCACGACCGAGCUGAAGUGUUGUUUCUCAUGCACAAGAAGUUCGGAUGUGGAUUCAUGAGAAGAGAUGCGAAAGACCGGACUUUGAAAUACGAAGUCCGUUCCCUCAACGAUCUUCUUACCAAAGUCAUUCCGCAUUUCGAGAACUAUCCGUUACGGUCAGGAAAGUCCAAAGACUUCAAACU